AAUAUUGGACAAUGGGGGCAACCCUGAUCCAGCCAUGCCGCUCGGGUGAAAAAUGUCCUCGUUUUUUAUAGCACUUUAAGUUGGGAGGAAGGGCUUUAGGUUAAUACCCUGACGUUUCGACGUUACCAACAGAAUAAGCACCGGCUAACUUUGUGCCUGCAGCCGCGGUAAUACAGAGGGUGCAAGCGUUAAUCGGAAUUACUGGGCGUAAAGCGCGCGUAGGUGGUUCAGUAAGAUGGGUGUGAAAUCCCCGGGCUUAACCUGGGAACUGCUUUCAUAACUGCUGAGCUAGAGUACGGUAGAGGGUAGUGGAAUUUCCUGUGUAGCGGUGAAAUGCGUAGAUAUAGGAAGGAACACCAGUGGCGAAGGCGACUACCUGGACUGAUACUGACACUGAGGUGCGAAAGCGUGGGGAGCAAAC
rnacentral:rRNA from 1 species